rnacentral:lncRNA from 1 species
AUGAAGAUGGUGAAAAAUCAAAGUAUUACGUUUCGAAGUUCACCACAGCCCUUCAAUAGUCCACUUCCUCAUCUCAUUCUCGUAAGUAUGCCCUCGAUCUCUCCGUCUACCUUUCACCUUCCCGUUUUCUUUCCCUCUCCCCCGACUAUCCAUAUCAUAUCACUUUCAUGUCUUUGUUUUCCCUCUACAAAGAUGGAUGCUUUCCUCUGUCUGUUUAAAGUGGUAAAUGACUCAUCACUUCCUCUAGGCAUCUUUACUCAGCCUGGUAGAACACACACAGCAGGUGCCAUAACGUCUUCCUGUCACAAUGGCCUCAGGACAAGAGCCUGGAUCCAGAAGCCUCUACAAACUGACUGUAGUCCCACUAUGUCAGAAGUGCAGCUUGACCAAGCCCACUGGGCACACACUGGUUGAAUCAACGUUGUAUCCAUGUCAUUUCAAUUAAAUGAAGUUGAACCAUCGUUGAAUUGACGGCUGUGCCCAGUGGGAGGCACUACUUUUGACCAAGGCCCUAUGUAGGAAUAGGGUGCUAUUUCAAACCCAGUCCCAGUGACAAAACAACAACAUAACUUCCUCUCAAAUAAAGCCAUCCUCGCCCCAAACUCCCCAUCUUUAUCUUACGAAGUGCUCAAGCUCUUCCCUCCCUCCUCUCUUGAACAUCAGGCUCAACAUUCCCAAAUAGACCCUCGUAGUGUUGACUGACUAAACUCGUACUGGGGAUGACUACUACCCUGUUUCAGAAUAUAACGCGAGUCAGCCAACCACGUUGGAGUGUGCUGUACUAUUUGAACCAUUUGAACCCUUUCCAGAAUGUUCUAGGGUUCUAGUGUGUCUGCUGUGCAGGUGGAGUGGCACUGGGACAGAGAGGAGUGUUAGGUCACCAUGGUGAUUAGCUAACAGUGACUCAUUUGGGUUGAAUAGCAAAUUGACGGUUAUACAUGGAUUGGUAAUAAAUAGAGGGUGAAAAAAGCAUGCUAUUUACACUCGUUUCCAGCCUCUGGUUUCAUGACUCAUUCCCUCUCUUUGCUCCCUCCGCUGCCAGUUACAGUUGCUAGUUAUUUCCCUCCUCUCUCCAGUUCCACAAAAAUAAAUACAGGAAGAAACAACCUUUGAACACUGAUGAAGAAAAAAAAAAUGAUGUAAAACUAUAACGGUUCAAAUCAAAGUAAAAAUAAUAAAUAAAAAAAUGUUGUCCGUCAAACUGUCACUCUUAUUGGUCGACGCCUCCUUUGGGGUCUCUACCGUCAAGUCGUGUCAUUGGCUAGUCAACCAGGGCCUUUGCUGUGCUUGGGUAACAUCAACGUAACCUCUCUGUG